rnacentral:rRNA from 1 species
UACGUAGGCGGCGAGCGUUGUCCGGAUUUACUGGGCGUAAAGGGAGCGUAGGCGGACUUUUAAGUGAGAUGUGAAAUACUCGGGCUCAACUUGAGUGCUGCAUUUCAAACUGGAAGUCUAGAGUGCAGGAGAGGAGAAUGGAAUUCCUAGUGUAGCGGUGAAAUGCGUAGAGAUUAGGAAGAACACCAGUGGCGAAGGCGAUUCUCUGGACUGUAACUGACGCUGAGGCUCGAAAGCGUGGGGAGCAAACAGG